UCCUUGAUAGCUCAGCCGGUUAGAGCGAGCGGCUGUUAACCGCUAGGUCGUUGGUUCGAGUCCAACUCAGGGAGCAA
rnacentral:tRNA from 1 species